rnacentral:rRNA from 1 species
CGGGACGGGUGAGUAAUGUCUGGGAAACUGCCUGAUGAGGGGGGAUAACUACUGGAAACGGUAGCUAAUACCGCAUAACGUCGCAAGACCAAAGUGGGGGACCUUCGGGCCUCUUGCCAUCGGAUGUGCCCAGAUGGGAUUAGCUAGUAGGUGGGGUAACGGCUCACCUAGGCGACGAUCCCUAGCUGGUCUGAGAGGAUGACCAGCCACACUGGAACUGAGACACGGUCCAG